CUUUGGUAGUGUUUAUAUCCCUGUGAGUUUAACACUUCAUGACUGAGAGCUGUCCUUCAUGACAACAGAACCCACAACAACCAUGACUUUUAUCACCAUCUUCAUCUGGAUAUUUGCCCUCUGUCUCCAAGAGUCCAGAGGCCAGGUCACUUUGACUCAGACCCCUGCAGUGAAAGUUGUUUCAGUGGGUCACUCAGUCAGUCUCAGCUGUAAGACAAGCAGUGCUGUACCCAGUAACAGCAAUGGACACUAUUUGCACUGGUAUCAACAGAAACCUGGAGGAGCUCCUAAACUCCUUAUUUACUAUGCUAAAACCCUUCAGUCUGGGACUCCAUCUAGAUUCAGUGGCAGUGGAUCUGGGAGUGACUUCACUCUGACCAUCAGUGGAGUCCAGGCUGAAGAUGCAGGAGAUUACUACUGUCAGAGUUACCACAGCAGUGGUAAUGUGUUCACACAGUGAUACAGAGCCGUACAAAAACCUCCCUCAGUCAGACUGCACAGUGGCUGUACUGAUACAGCUGUGACCUACAGCAAGUGCUGAGGGGAGGAGAUGAUUCAGUACAAUGACACAGUGUGUAGUAGAGCUGAACAACAAUAGAGUCAAACUAGAGCUAUUUGUAGAAGACCUUAGAUCAUAACUGAUCACUAAAAGUUUCUACUGAACAUUAACUACAUGUUGUCUCUGUUAAGUAACUCAAGGAAAACCAUCAACCAAUCUAAAUAGAGAUGAUGUGCAUUGAUCAAAAUCCCUAAAGAUGACCUGUGUUUUGAAUACACCCCUGGACAGUGAGAGCCAGGGUGCUGCUCCAGCUGUACAGACCGUCCUUCUCCAGGACCCUGGGACUGGUCUCCUGCUUCUGGCUGGUCCACUUUCCAGCUCAAGGUCCAGUCUGAGGGGAAGCUCUUGUUGGCCAGACAUGUCAGUGUGGCUGUUGUUAUACUGGACAGCUCCUCACUAGAGGGGGGCAGGACUCAUCAAUUACAUCAAAACAAAUCACUUUGGAAAUUACUUCUAAAACUGUAUAUGAAUAUAAAAGUUAGAUUGCUGAAAGAUGUAAAGAAAACCUAAACAGCAACAUGAUAUUACACAUUAUAAGUAUAAAGUAUACAAGUAUGUGUUUAAUUUUAGCAUUACUUUGCCAUACAGAUGUGUUUUUAGGAACGUAUCUGAUCAGAAAACUCAUAUUAAUAGUAUUUGCAGAAGCCAAGCGGUUGGACACAAACAACGUAGAUCAUUUAUCUUCACAUUAAUAUUGUGGCUAUCAUAAACUCAAUGAAAUGAUGACUACAAUAACAGAUUCCACACUUGUCGUACCAGAAUAUUUGAAAGAAGGCUCAGUCAACAGCAAUAUAUGACAAUAUAUAAACUCAGCAAAAAAAUAAACGUCCCUUUUUCAGGA